rnacentral:ncRNA from 1 species
AAGUUAGUUAAUAUAUUUAUUAAUCAAAGUUUAAUUUUAGUUUAAAUAUUUGAUUUAUUAUUAUUUUAUAUGUAAUUUUUUUUUAAAUAGAUAUUUUCAGUAUUUACUUUUAUAAAAUUAUUAAUUUAAUUUUAGUAAUUAAUAAAUAAAUCUAAUAAAAUUUGUGCCAGCAAUUGCGGUUAAACAAAUAGAUUGAUUAAAUAUUUUUGGUUAUAAUAAAUUGUUUAUUUUAAAAUAAUAAUUUUAAGGUGAAAUUUUAAUUUUAUUUUUUAUUAGUUUAAUGAUUUUAGAAAAUUAUGUUAAAAACUAGGAUUAGAUACCCUACUAUUAUAAUUGUAUUUAUAUUUUCUUAGUUAGUAUUAGUUAUGUUCUUAAAAGUUAAAGGAUUUGGCGGUAUUUUAAUCAGUUUAGAGGAACCUGUUCUGUAAUUGAUAGUCCACGAUAUGUUUUACUUAUUUUUUGCUUGUAUAUCAUUGUUAUUGAAUUUCUUUUUAGGGAAAAUUUUCUUUCAUUUUUAUAUAAAAUAAUUUCAGAUCAUGGUGCAGUUUAUUAAUAAGUAGAGAUGGGUUACAAUAAAUUUAUUUUUAGUUAUUAAAUUUAAAUUUUUAAUAUAAAUUGGAUUUAAUAGUAAUUAUAUUUAUUUAAAUAUAAUGAUUAUUGUUCUAAAAUAUGUACAUAUUGCCCGUCGCUCUCAAUUAAUUUGAGAUAAGUCGUAACAUAGUAGAUUUACUGGAAAGUGAAUCUAGCAUA